UGAGGAAUAUUGGUCAAUGGGUGCAAGCCUGAACCAGCCAUCCCGCGUGAAGGACGACUGCCCUAUGGGUUGUAAACUUCUUUUGUAUAGGGAUAAACCUACCCUCGUGAGGGUAGCUGAAGGUACUAUACGAAUAAGCACCGGCUAACUCCGUGCCAGCAGCCGCGGUAAUACGGAGGGUGCAAGCGUUAUCCGGAUUUAUUGGGUUUAAAGGGUCCGUAGGCGGACUUAUAAGUCAGUGGUGAAAGCCUGUCGCUUAACGAUAGAACUGCCAUUGAUACUGUAAGUCGUGAGUAUAUGUGAGGUAGCUGGAAUAAGUAGUGUAGCGGUGAAAUGCAUAGAUAUUACUUAGAACACCAAUUGCGAAGGCAGGUUACCAAGAUAUAACUGACGCUGAGGGACGAAAGCGUGGGGAGCGAACA
rnacentral:rRNA from 1 species